rnacentral:tRNA from 1 species
UGAGGGAUCGUCUAACGGCAGGACUGCGGAUUCUGGCUCCGCCAAUCAAGGUUCGAAUCCUUGUCCCUCAGCCA